ACUAACAAUUGGAUACCAUGAAAUUGGGGAGAAAAGGGGAUACAAUUUUUUUUUUUUUACAUUAAAAAAAGAAUACUCCAAGCUAGUUUUUUGAGAGUCACCCGGAAGAUAGCUGUGGACUAAUUUGUCAUUUAGGGACCGUAUUUUUAAACAGGUCAAAGGGUGUGCCAUGGGAGCUACAGCCCUUCCUACGCUGGUUUGUACUUGGAUAAAUGGGAAAAUGACUUCAUUUUGGAUCCUUCUAAUAACCAUUUCUUUGACCGGAUUAUAUGGUGGGGACUCCAUAUUGAUGAUGUUUGCCUGUUUUGGUCCGGCUUUGAAGAUGAACUUAUUUCCUUCCACCAAUACCUUAACAACAUUACCCCUAACAUCAAACUAACUAUGGAGUACAGCAAGGAUAACAUUCAUUUUUUGGACCUCGACAUUAGUAAAAAUGACAGGUUGUUUGCACACAUCAAUCUUUAGGAUGCCUACAGAUGGGAAUACCAUUCUGAGGGCAGACAGCUUUCACCCCAAAAGGCUAAUAUUCCAUAUGGCCAAUUCCAAAGAGUCCGCAGAAUUUGCGAUUAGGAAACGGACUACAGUAUCAAAUCUGCUGAAUUGGAGAAUCGCUUCUUGAAUCGAGGCUACAGCGUUCAGGUCCUGAAAGAUGCAGAUUGGAAUGUCCACAGUGCAAGGUGUUCUACAUUGGACGGACAAAGAGAUGCCUUCAAGACCGCUUAGCGGAACACAAGUACGCCAUACGGGGAGGCAAUGAAGACUACCCCAUGGCAUGGCACUACAAGUCCUUACACCUUGGCAACCCAGCCUCCCUACAAGCUAUGGGUAUUGAUUAUGUUUCGGCCUCUAUUAGAAAAGGGGACCGUCUUAAACAGUUAAACCAAAGGGAACGUUUUUGGAUUUACAAACUACAGGCCACUAAAUACCCUGGUUUAAAUGAAGAUAUGGAUUUCUCACCCUUCCUGUAGG